AUUGAACGCUGGCGGCAGGCCUAACACAUGCAAGUCGAACGGUAACAGGAAGCAGCUUGCUGCUUUGCUGACGAGUGGCGGACGGGUGAGUAAUGUCUGGGAAACUGCCCGAUGGAGGGGGAUAACAACUGGAAACGGUAGCUAAUACCGCAUAACGUCGCAAGACCAAAGAGGGGGACCUUAGGGCCUCUUGCCAUCGGAUGUGCCCAGAUGGGAUUAGCUAGUAGGUGGGGUAACGGCUCACCUAGGCGACGAUCCCUAGCUGGUCUGAGAGGAUGACCAGCCACACUGGAACUGAGACACGGUCCAGACUCCUACGGGAGGCAGCAGUGGGGAAUAUUGCACAAUGGGCGCAAGCCUGAUGCAGCCAUGCCGCGUGUAUGAAGAAGGCCUUCGGGUUGUAAAGUACUUUCAGCGGGGAGGAAGGGAGUAAAGUUAAUACCUUUGCUCAUUGACGUUACCCGCAGAAGAAGCACCGGCUAACUCCGUG
rnacentral:rRNA from 1 species